rnacentral:rRNA from 1 species
GGAUCGGGGAUAACACCUGGGAACAGAUGCUAAUACCCGGGAGUAACAACAGAUGAUGCCUAUCAACUGUUUUAAAAGAUAGGGUUCUGCUAUCACUCUUGGAUGGGACCUGCGGUGCAUUAGCUAGUUGGUGGGUAAAGGGCCUACCAAGGCGAUGAUGCAUAGCCGAGUUGAGAGACUGAUCGGCCACAUUGGGACUGAGACACGGCCCAAACUCCUACGGGAGGCAGCAGUAGGGAAUCUUCCACAAUGGACGCAAGUCUGAUGGAGCAACGCCGCGUGAGUGAAGAAGGGUUUCGGCUCGUAAAGCUCUGUUGUUGGUGAAGAAGGACAGGGGUAGUAACUAACCUUUGUUUGACGGUAAUCAAUUAGAAAGUCACGGCUAACUACGUGCCAGCAGCCGCGGUAAU